rnacentral:rRNA from 1 species
GUCGGGAAUAUUGCCCAAUGCGCGAAAGCGUGAGGCAGCAACGCCGCGUGCGCGAUGAAGGCCUUCGGGUCGUAAAGCGCUUUUCGGGAGGAUGAGAGCGGACAGUACUCCCGGAAUCAGGUACGGCUAACUACGUGCCAGCAGCCGCGGUAAAACGUAGGUACCGAGCGUUAUCCGGAUUUACUGGGCGUAAAGCGCGUUCAGGCGGUUUGGCAAGUCGGGCAUGAAAUCCUUCGGCUCAACCGGGGGAGGUUGUCCGAUACUGCCGGACUGGAGGGCAGUAGAGGGUGGUGGAAUUCCGGGUGUAGUGGUGAAAUGCGUAGAGAUCCGGAGGAACACCAGUGGCGUAAGCGGCCACCUGGACUGUACCUGACGCUCAAACGCGAAAGCUAGGGGAGCGAACGGGAUUAGAAACCCUAGUAGUCC